rnacentral:rRNA from 1 species
UGAACGCUGGCAGCAUGGAUUAGGCAUGCAAGUCGAACGAGACUCCGGGCUUCGGCCCGGAUGACAGUGGCGCAAGGGUGAGUAACACGUGAGUAAUCUGCCCCGAAGUCCGGGAUAGCCCAUGGAAACGUGGAUUAAUACCGGAUGUGGCUGUAUGAACUGCGGUUUUAACAGUUAAAGAUUCAUUGCUUCGGGAUGAGCUCGCGGUCCAUCAGCUUGUUGGUGAGGUAAUGGCUCACCAAGGCGACGACGGAUAGCUGGUCUGAGAGGAUGACCAGUCACACUGGGACUGAGACACUGCCCAGACUCCUACGGGAGGCUGCAGUCGAGAAUCUUCCGCAAUGGGCGCAAGCCUGACGGAGCAAUGCUGCGUGCCGGAUGAAGGCCUUCGGGUCGUAAGCGGCUGUCACUCGGGACGAAUUUUGACGGUACCGAGAGAGGAAGCCACGGCUAACUACGUGCCAGCAGCCGCGGUAAUACGUAGGUGGCGAGCGUUAUUCGGAAUUAUUGGGCCUAGAGGGUUCGUAGGGGGUAAUGUAAGUCCGGUGUGAAUCUCGAGGCUCAACCUCGAACUGCAUUGGAA